rnacentral:rRNA from 1 species
UACGUAGGGUCCGAGCGUUGUCCGGAAUUACUGGGCGUAAAGAGCUCGUAGGUGGUUUGUCGCGUUGUUCGUGAAAACUCACAACUCAAUUGUGGGCGUGCGGGCGAUACGGGCAGACUUGAGUACUGCAGGGGAGACUGGAAUUCCUGGUGUAGCGGUGGAAUGCGCAGAUAUCAGGAGGAACACCGGUGGCGAAGGCGGCCAUCUGGCGAGACACUGACGCUAAGGCGCGAAAGCGUGGGUAGCAAACAGG